GGAUCGAUGAUGACUCCCCCAUAAACAUUCCUUGGAAAAGCUGAACAAAAUGAGUGAGAACUCACAACCGUCAUUCUCAUCGUGACUGAGGUCC
rnacentral:snoRNA from 14 species